GACAGAGGUGCCAAGCGUUAGGCGGAAUCACUGGGCUUAAAGCGUGUGUAGGCGGGUCGUUAAGUAACUUGUGAAAUCCCCCGGCUCAACCGGGGAACGGCUGGGUAUACUGGCGAUCUUGAGCCACCUAGGGGCAGUCGGAACAAGUGGUGGAGCGGUGAAAUGCGUAGAUAUCCACAGGAACUCCGGUGGCGAAGGCGGCACGCUGGACCGUCACUGACGCUGAGGCGCGAAAGCCAGGGGAGCGAACGGG
rnacentral:rRNA from 1 species